rnacentral:rRNA from 1 species
UAGCGGAGGAAAAGAAACCAACCGGGAUUGCCUUAGUAACGGCGAGUGAAGCGGCAAAAGCUCAAAUUUGAAAUCUAGUACCUUCGGUGCUCGAGUUGUAAUUUGUAGAGGGAUACUUUGGGGCCGUUCCUUGUCUAUGUUCCUUGGAACAGGACGUCAUAGAGGGUGAGAAUCCCGUGUGGCGAGGAGUGCGGUUCUAUGUAAAGUGCCUUCGAAGAGUCGAGUUGUUUGGGAAUGCAGCUCUAAGUGGGUGGUAAAUUCCAUCUAAAGCUAAAUAUUGGCGAGAGACCGAUAGCGAACAAGUACAGUGAUGGAAAGAUGAAAAGAACUUUGAAAAGAGAGUGAAAAAGUACGUGAAAUUGUUGAAAGGGAAGGGCAUUUGAUCAGACAUGGUGUUUUGCGCCCUCUGCUCCUUGUGGGUGGGGGACUCUCGCAGCUCACUGGGCCAACAUCAGUUUUGGUGGUCGGACAAAUCCGUAGGAAUGUAGCUUACCUCGGUAAGUGUUAUAGCCUGCGGGAAUACGGCCAGCCGGGACUGAGGACUGCGACUUUUGUCAAGGAUGUUGGCAUAAUGGUUAUAUGCCG